GACGAACGCUGGCGGUGUGCUUAACACAUGCAAGUGGUGCGACGAACCAGAGCUUGCUCUGGGGCAAAGCCGCGAACGGGUGAGUAACACGUGGGUAAUCUACCCCGAUGACCGGGACAACCCGAGGAAACUCGGGCUAAUACCGGAUGUGGUACGGAGACAUAAGUCUCUUUACUAAAGGUAGCUUCGGCUUCCGCAUUGGGAGGGGCCCGCGGCCCAUUAGCUAGUUGGUGGGGUCAAGGCCUACCAAGGCAACGAUGGGUAGCUGGUCUGAGAGGACGAUCAGCCACACUGGGACUGAGACACGGCCCAGACUCCUACGGAGGCAGCAGUGGGGAAUCUUGCGCAAUGCGCGAAAGCGUGACGCAGCAACACCGCGUGAGGGAAGACGGCCUUAGGGUUGUAAACCUCUUUCAGAUGGGACGAAGGUGAUGCGGUGAAUAGCCGAUGUCAUUGACGGUACCGUCAGAAGAAGCUCGGCUAACUACGUGCCAGCAGCCGCGG
rnacentral:rRNA from 1 species